CGGGGCGUAGCGCAGUUGGUAGCGUGCAUGGUUCGGGACCAUGAGGUCGCUGGUUCGAGCCCAGUCGCCCCGA
rnacentral:tRNA from 2 species